rnacentral:rRNA from 1 species
AGUGGCGCACGGGUGCGUAACACGUAUGUAACCUACCUUUAUCAGGGGGAUAGCCUCUCGAAAGAGAGAUUAAGCCCGCAUAAAAUCACACUAUGGCAUCAUAGAAUGAUCAAAUAUUUAUAGGAUAAAGAUGGGCAUGCGGAACAUUAGCUAGUUGGUAAGGUAACGGCUUACCAAGGCUACGAUGUUUAGGGGAUCUGAGAGGAUGACCCCCCACACUGGUACUGAGACACGGACCAGACUCCUACGGGAGGCAGCAGUAAGGAAUAUUGGUCAAUGGACGGAAGUCUGAACCAGCCAUGCCGCGUGCAGGAAGACAGCCCUACGGGUUGUAAACUGCUUUUAUACGGGAAUAAACCUACCUAUGUAUAGGUAGCUGAAUGUACUGUAAGAAUAAGGAUCGGCUAACUCCGUGCCAGCAGCCGCGGUAAUACGGAGGAUCCGAGCGUUAUCCGGAUUUAUUGGGUUUAAAGGGUGCGUAGGCGGCCUAUUAAGUCAGGGGUGAAAGACGGUUGCUUAACUAUCGCAGUGCCUUUGA